ACCGCGACAGCUCAGCUGGUAGAGCAUCCGCCCGGUGUGCGGAGGGUCACCGGUUCGUUUCCGGCUCUCGGCG
rnacentral:tRNA from 1 species